UCCGUAGGUGAACCUGCGGAAGGAUCAUUACAU
rnacentral:rRNA from 1 species